rnacentral:rRNA from 1 species
CCCUAUGGGGUGCAGCAGGCGCGAAACCUCCGCAAUGCACGCAAGUGUGACGGGGGGACUCCAAGUGGUACGGAUUUUUUUCGUAUCUUUUAUUAAGUGUAAAUAGCUUGAGGAAUAAGAGCUGGGUAAGACAGGUGCCAGCCGCCGCGGUAAUACCUGCAGCUCGAGUUGUCUGGAGUUUUACUGGGUCUAAAACGUUCGUAGCCGGUUUUCUAAGUCCUUUGUGAAAUCUGGCAGCCUAACUGUCAGGCGUGCAGAGGAAACUAGGAGACUUGGGAACGGGAUGGGUUAUGGGAACUCUAAGGGUAAGGGUGAAAUCUAAUAAUCCUUAGGGGACCACCUGUGGCGAAGGCGCAUAACUAAAACGUUUCCGACGGUGAGGAACGAAAGCCAGGGGAGCAAACGGGAUUAGAUACCCCGGUAGUCCUGGCCGUAAAUGAUGUGAACUAGGUGUUGCAUGUCCUUUUUGGGCGUGCAGUGCCGAAGGGAAGCCGUUAAGUUCACUACCUGGGAAGUACGAUCGCAAGGUUGAAACUUAAAGGAAUUGACGGGGGAGCACAACAAGGGGUGGAGCUUGCGGUUUAAUUGGAUUAUACUCCGGAAAUCUCACCAGGGAAGACAACAGCAUGAAGGCCAGUCUGAAGGGCUUGCCAGACUCGUUGAGAGGUGGUGCAUGGCC